GACGAACGCUGGCGGCGUGCUUAACACAUGCAAGUCGAACGAAGAGCGAUGGAAGCUUGCUUCUAUCAAUCUUAGUGGCGAACGGGUGAGUAACGCGUAAUCAACCUGCCCUUCAGAGGGGGACAACAGUUGGAAACGACUGCUAAUACCGCAUACGAUCUAAUCUCGGCAUCGAGGAUAGAUGAAAGGUGGCCUCUACAUGUAAGCUAUCACUGAAGGAGGGGAUUGCGUCUGAUUAGCUAGUUGGAGGGGUAACGGCCCACCAAGGCGAUGAUCAGUAGCCGGUCUGAGAGGAUGAACGGCCACAUUGGGACUGAGACACGGCCCAGACUCCUACGGGAGGCAGCAGUGGGGAAUCUUCCGCAAUGGACGAAAGUCUGACGGAGCAACGCCGCGUGAGUGAUGACGGCCUUCGGGUUGUAAAGCUCUGUUAAUCGGGACGAAAGGCCUUCUUGCGAAUAGUGAGAAGGAUUGACAGUACCGGAAUAGAAAGCCACGGCUAACUACGUG
rnacentral:rRNA from 1 species